ACAGAAAAGAUGCCUCAGUACGGCGAGUGAGCGGCAAAGCUCAAAUUUGAAACCCUCGGGAUUGUAAUUUGAAGAUUUGGCAUUGGAGAAAGCUAACCCAAGUUGCUUGGAAUAGUACGUCAUAGAGGGUGACAACCCCGUCUGGCUAACCGUUCUCCAUGUAUUGCCUUAUCAAAGAGUCGAGUUGUUUGGGAAUGCAGCUCAAAGUGGGUGGUAAACUCCAUCUAAAGCUAAAUACUGGUGAGAGACCGAUAGCGAACAAGUACUGUGAAGGAAAGGUGAAAAGAACUUUGAAAAGAGAGUGAAAUAGUAUGUGAAAUUGUUGAUAGGGAAGGAAAUGAGUGGAGAGUGGCCGAGGUUUCAGCCGCCCCUCGUGGGCGGUGUACUGCCGACGCCGAGUCAUCGAUAGCGAGACGAGGGUUACAAAUGGGAGCGCCUUUCGGGCGUUCUCCCCUAACCCUCCACACUGCCACCGACAACAUAAUCCACCCAUUUCACCCGUCUUGAAACACGGACCA
rnacentral:rRNA from 1 species